GGAUGAGCCCGCGGCCUAUCAGCUUGUUGGUGGGGUAAUGGCCUACCAAGGCGACGACGGGUAGCCGGCCUGAGAGGGUGACCGGCCACACUGGGACUGAGAUACGGCCCAGACUCCUACGGGAGGCAGCAGUGGGGAAUAUUGCACAAUGGGCGCAAGCCUGAUGCAGCGACGCCGCGUGAGGGAUGACGGCCUUCGGGUUGUAAACCUCUUUCAAUAGGGACGGAGCGCAAGUGACGGUACCUAUAGAAGAAGGACCGGCCAACUACGUGCCAGCAGCCGCGGUAAUACGCAGGGUCCGAGCGUUGUCCGGAAUUACUGGGCGUAAAGAGCUCGUAAGUGGUUUGUCGCGUUGUUCGUGAAAACUCACAGCUUAACUGUGGGCGUGCGGGCGAUACGGGCAGACUAGAGUACUGCAGGGGAGACUGGAAUUCCUGGUGUAGCGGUGGAAUGCGCAGAUAUCGGGAGGAACACCGGUGGCGAAGGCGGUCUCUGGCAGUACUGAC
rnacentral:rRNA from 1 species